AAAUUUUAUAAACACACAUUUGUUUUAUAUGUUACUAACACACAUUUGACAACUUAGAUGAAAUGGACUAAUUCCUUAAAAAAUAAAAACUACUACAACAUACCCGAUAUGAAGUAGAUAAUUUCAGUAGCUUUAUAACUAUUAAGGACAUUGAAUUUGUAAUUUAAAACUUCACCCCCAAGAAAUCUUUACUCCAGAUGAUUUCAGUGGAGAAUUCUAUCAAACGUCUAAAGAAUUAACACCGAUUCUACAAAUCUGAUCCAGAAAAUAGAAGAGAUGAAGCAUUUCCUAAGUCAUUUUAUGAGGCCCAUCUUACCCAUAUCAAAACCAGACAAGGAAAAUACAAAAAAGAUGACUACAGACCAAUGACCUUUAAUAAGAACACAGACA
rnacentral:lncRNA from 1 species